UCUGGUGGCCCAGCAGCGCGCGGUAAUUCCAGCUCCAAUAGCGUAUAUUAAAGUUGUUGUGGUUAAAAAGCUCGUAGUUGAACCUUGGGCCUGGCUGGCCGGUCCGCCUCACCGCGUGCACUGGUCCGGCCGGGCCUUUCCCUCUGCGGAACCCCAUGCCCUUCACUGGGUGUGGCGGGGAAACAGGACUUUUACUUUGAAAAAAUUAGAGUGCUCAAGGCAGGCCUAUGCUCGAAUACAUUAGCAUGGAAUAAUAGAAUAGGACGUGUGGUUCUAUUUUGUUGGUUUCUAGGACCGCCGUAAUGAUUAAUAGGGACAGUCGGGGGCAUCAGUAUUCAAUUGUCAGAGGUGAAAUUCUUGGAUUUAUUGAAGACUAACUACUGCGAAAGCAUUUGCCAAGGAUGUUUUCAUUAAUCAGGAACGAAAGUUAGGGGAUCGAAGACGAUCAGAUACCGUCGUAGUCUUAACCAUAAACUAUGCCGACUAGGGAUCGGACGAUGUUACAUUUUUGACGCGUUCGGCACCUUACGAGAAAUCAAAGUGCUUGGGCUCCAGGGGGAGUAUGGUCGCAAGGCUGAAACUUAAAGAAAUUGACGGAAGGGCACCACCAGGGGUGGAGCCUGCGGCUUAAUUUGACUCAACACGGGGAAACUCACCAGGUCCAGACACAAUGAGGAUUGACAGAUUGAGAGCUCUUUCUUGAUUUUGUGGGUGGUGGUGCAUGGCCGUUCUUAGUUGGUGGAGUGAUUUGUCUGCUUAAUUGCGAUAACGAACGAGACCUUAACCUGCUAAAUAGCCCGUAUUGCUUUGGCAGUACGCCGGCUUCUAGAGGGACUAUCGGCUCAAGCCGAUGGAAGUUUGAGGCAAUAACAGGUC
rnacentral:rRNA from 1 species